rnacentral:hammerhead_ribozyme from 1 species
AUGCGAAACGGCCCCGUAUGGGGCCGUCGCCGGGGCGUGGCGGCUCCGGCCUGACGAGCAACC